rnacentral:lncRNA from 1 species
CCACCAACUGCUUAGUGCAAUCAAUGCCAUUGAAAUAAAUGACAACCUCUUCCCAAAUGCAAUUGAUACAUUUCCAAGAAACAUCUCAAACUUCCACUCUAUAAAAAGCUACUCAAAUAGGUGAAGCAACAACCUGAAUCAAUUCGCAUGGCCACUGCAGAGAAGACAGCCAACUACAUCACGUCUUGAAGGGGCAGGAUCCCAGGUAUCAUCAUUGAAAACCAAAAUCUCAUGAUGCUAUCUCCUUCACCAGCCAUCCCAAAACAGGGUAUGCAAAGUACAAUACCAAAAACGAGGGUAUCGCAAAAGGAAUAGUGAGCAGAAGAUACAGGAGCAAGAUGACAGCGCAAGUGGGCAGCACAGAAAACGGAAUCAGUAGGAACACAAUAACCAAUGGGAACUUAGACAUGAUGUCAAUGAAUAUAUCCAGAGAUUUAGGGAAAAGGGAAUGCUGUCCAUCGGAACUGCAACCGACAUUUUCCAUCUGGGACAAUUGCCUGGAAUUUCAAGAACUUGGCUGCCGUCUGAGGCUACCAUUGCCAGAUCGAUUUCCAAGAGCUAGAUUGUGCCUUGGAGAGCUAACUGAUUGAUGUUCAAGAGAGAAAUUGGAAGUGAACUUGGUCCGGUCCCCAUUCAAGCUCUCGACCAUCCAAAGAAGGAAGAAGUUCUUGAGAGGGAUUUUUAGGUUCCCCCUAUAAAUCCACCUUAAUGACAACAAGUGGCACCUGGGACAGGAAAUGAGAAAGGGUAUCUUAAUUUUUUGUCCUAGAAAAUUCAAAAGAGCUGAUUGAAGGGCGAGGACACAGUUCUUGCAGAGUGUAUGGCCGCACAAUAGAACAUAAGGCACAUUCUCAAAUAUAUUGAAUGACUCCCCGCAUAUGGGGCAAUCCAAGCCUUCAUCCCUGCUCACAUUUGAAGCAACCUCAUCAUCUGAGCACUCCUGACAAACUUGAGUUGGCUCACCAGAGCUUUUUUUCAAUCCGAUGCUUAAAAUCACAUUUAACAUAAACUUCCACAUCACAACAAUCAAAUAAUUUGCUCGAGGAUGAAGGUCCUAAAGGCCAUAACUGCGAAUUGCAUGCCAUCUAACCUAAGAAACUCUCAAAGGAAAAAUCUUAAGCAGAAUACAGCCUGUAAGUUUCUCUAUCAGCUCCCUUCUCCGACUCACAGGUGAGGCAACAGCUUUGUCUGUUCAAACCUGACCUGAAUUAAACACAAGGAAAACAGUUAACCUUAUGCAUACUACUCAUGAUAUUUUACUUUCAAAGACUACAGUUUCCAUACCAAAAUGCAAUGGAACUAUGGGGAAUUUUGGAGUGAGCUCCAAGUUAUUCAGUCUUCUUGCGCUCCAACCUUUUAGACAAACCUAAAAAGAGUUUCAUUGUUCUUCUGCCAUAAGUUCUGGUAACAUACCGCCGUGCAAAAUCUUGGAUGGCUUUAAGGCUUUAGGGUGCUUCGUUUUGCAAAAGAGAGCACAAGAGAAAAGGGCACAAAAGUUAGAGUCUUCCUUCAGCAGAAAGUAAGUCAAAAUGCGGCAGAGGCAUGCAGAGAGAGAAUACUUUGCUUGACCUUAUGUUGGCUGCCGAGAAGAUCCAAACCAGGCUUUGCAUGCAAAGCAUAUGGAACUUUGCUUGCAAAACUCCUACGUAUCACAGAAGUCAUCAAGUCUCUUCUUCUUCUUCUUCUUCUUCUUCUUCUUCUUCUUCUCUCUCUCUCUCUCUCUCUCUCUCUCUCAGAAGGAACCAGCAACAUCAAGGACAGAAAGACACCAGCCCAGAAGACUCGAUCUUUCAAAGGAGGUAAUUCAAACUCGGUUUACUAAUAUGUCAUUCGCUUAGUGCUGCUUAGCAAAUACCUUGUUGCUAAAAGCACUAGUUCUUUCAUUAAAGAGAAAAGUCAUUUUACCAUGUCCAUAUCUAUAAUAAUCUAUCUAAUGAAUCCACUUUCAUGUCAUUGAUAAAGUCUAAACAUGGUGAUUAGCCUUCAAAAACCAAAGCUGGUUGCAGAGACAAUUCACCAAACAAAUGUGCUGGAGCGAUGGACCUGGAGGCGAAGACGUGGCCACUGCAGCCGUGGCUGCCGCAGCCUUUGCAGCCAACAAGAUCGAAAAUUCAGCCACACCCGACCGCAGCCCAACGAGUGCGGGCCCUGAGAGCACAUUAUCUAAGGCCAAGUCGAAAAGGCAUAACGUAUUGACGCAACUAGAAACUGGUACGGCAUCUGGGAUGAUCUUGCCCACUAAUAUAAGAAAAGUGCACUUAUAAAAGAUUCUAUGUGGCGUCAACUGAUGGGAACCUUAGUUUCUUACAUCGACAGGUGAAGAAUCAAUAAAGAGCCUAGACAGAAAAAUACCGAUAACCGGUCCCGCGCAACCCGUGCAAAAACGUCCUAGUUUUGCCGAGAAGCUCUUGGAAAGCACCGAGGACGCCAAAGGAGGAGCACCCACACCGCCAAAACCAUCCCCUUUCAUCAAGAAGGCCUCCUUAUCAGCUGAUAAACAGUUCAAGAAGGUCACCGCUAUGACAGCCGAGAUCUCAUCGACUGAACCGCUUCCCACCACCAAACCCGCAGCUCCACCGCCACCCAAUGGAAGCGAAUUGAAUGAGAAGGACCAGAUGAGACAGGACUUGUUUUGGAUCAAGAAAAGGUCAGCUUUUUAAUAGUUAAUUCAGUAUCAUCUUUGCCUCUCUUGGAGAAAAUGAAUUGCUCAUUGGCUGAAACAUCUCGGUCAAAAAGUUCCAACCAAUUUCCCUUAACACAGUUUCUUUUUCCCAGUUACGACAACCUGAUAUCAGUUAUAGCUACGUGGGAGAGCCGAAAGAAGCUAAAGGCCAAACGCAAAUUGGACGAGACGCAGGUUCGGUUAAAGCCACCAGUCCGCAGUUAGUUAUCAAAUAAAGUUUCUUUUUUUUUUUUUUACUCUUCCUAUAUUCUUUGUAAUGUGGCUGCAGAGGGAACUGGACAGAAAAAAAGCCAAAGCAUCGCAAAUACAUCGGUCCAUCCAGAGGGAACUGGAGAAAAAAGGAGAAGAAGCAUCGAAAACAUAUUGGACCCAGAAGGAGAGGAUUGAACUGAUCACGGCUGCAGCGAGAGCACAGGCAAAGGAAAGGCAAAGGAGUGAAGAGUUGAAGGCUAGAGAUAAAUCAAAUAGACCCACAACCACUUGGAAACUUCCGAUUACAUGUCUCUGCGUUAGAAAUCGUCGGCCCUGAACUGCCACUCCCAAAAUACUCGAAGCUGAGGACGUAAAAUAUAUUCUUUCCUAUCCGUUUCUCUCAGUGUGACCACAAGAAUACCUUUGCACAGUCUGAGUUUGCAAUAUGUUACGUGACCCCUUCAUAUCAUUUGCUGUUAAGGUAACAGUGGAUAUGAUAAAUUUCAUCACCCAAGACUAAAUUUUGGUGUUUUUUGUUGUUGGGGGUGGGGGUGGCGGUUGUACAGCAGUACAUUUUACUAUUUCACUAAAAACAUUAGCCCAUAAUGAAGAGCCAGCAAUAGUAGAACAAAAAUUGCGGCAUAGCCAGCGCAAUAUGCAGAAAAGUUGCAAUAAAACAAUCCAUACAAGUGCUGUCCCUAGCUAUAUCUCCAUCAUGGCCACCAAGAAAGUGAACGACCUUUUGGAUACCCUUAUUGCACCUAAUGUACAUCAACAUAUAACAGACUUAGAUUGUACCACCAGCUGCUUAGUGCAAUCAAUGCCAUUGAAAUAAAUAUCAACCUCUUCCCAAAUGCAAUAGAUACAUUUCCAAGAAACACCUCAAACUUCCACUCUAUAAAAAGCUACUCAAAUAGGUGAAGCAACAACCUGAAUCAAUUCGCAUGGCCACUGCAGAGAAAACAGCCAGCUACAUCACAUCUUGAACAGGCAGGAUCCCAGGCUUUGUGAUUGAAAACCUAAAUCUCACGAUGUUAUCUCCUUCACUAGCCAUCCCAAAACGGGGUAUGCAAAGUACAAUACC